rnacentral:rRNA from 1 species
GCCUAAAGGCUGAACCAGCAACUUGGAAGAACGAAAAACCGAAGUCACGAGCGGUUACCAUGUAUAUAGAAUGUGGGGCAUUAUGCGAAUAGUUCAAAGUAAAUUUUGAUAAUGACAUUAUCUACUUUUAGGUCUUGACCAACUCAUGUGCCAGCAGUCGCGGUAAGACAUGGAAGGCCAGCGUUAUUCAUCUUUAUUAGGUUUAAAGGGUACCUAGACGGUAAAUUUUAGCUUUUUGUAAUUGUACUUAUUUACUAGAGUUUUAUAUAAAGAAUCCAGAACGGUAAGUGUAGGGAUAGAAUCUGUGAUACUGCUUAGAAACUGGUUUAUGUGAAGACAGGUUCUUAUGUAAAACUGACGUUAGGACGAAAGCUCAUUUAAGGACGGGAUUAGUUACCCCAGUACUAAGGCAGACAUUAUGAUGCCCAUAUGUAAGGAAAAUUUUUAUGUAUAAAGAAAAGUGUAAGCAUUCCACCUCAAGAGUAAUAUGGCAACAUAUAAACUGAAAUCACUAGGCCGUUUCUGGAACUCGUAGUGAAGUAUGUUAUUUAAUUUGAUGACCCACAAAGGACCUUACCACAGUGUGUAUAGAUAUAUAUGUAUAUAUCGGACAAGUGUUGCACGGCUGUCUACAGUUGAUAUCGUGAGAACUGAUUUACUUCAGAAAUCAACGUAAUCCCUGACUUUACUUAAAGUAAAGUACUAAUUCCUAUAAUGUACCCUUUAUGGAUUUAAUAUAUGGGAGCAUGACAAGUCAUCAUGGCCAAAAAUACAAAUUGAUAGUACUGUGGGCGAUAGACGUGCCACAUUUCGCCUUAACAAAAAGAUGCAUAAUUAAAAAAUUAAGCUAAUCUUUAAAAUAG